rnacentral:rRNA from 1 species
GUCUACGGCCAUGCUACCUCGAACAAGCCUGAUCCCAUCUAAUCUCGGAAGCUAAGCAGGGUCGGGCCUGGUUAGUACUUGGAUGGGAGACCACCUAGGAAGACCAGGUGCUGCAGGCA